rnacentral:lncRNA from 10 species
GAUUGCCUGGUCCUCCACCUGUUGCAAGUUCAGUAUUUCCCAACAUGCAUUGCAGUGAUGUGUUUCUCUUCCACUGCAGUGUCUAGUGUUCAGAUGGCUUUUGUGAGGUAGGGGUACCACCCACUAAGUUGUUCUCCCUAAUGGCUUUUGCAUAGUUGUUGUUUGAGCCACCCAUUCCAUCAUCUUUUUUUCUUCCUAAUUUUUUUUUCAAGUUCUACCAUUCCAUCAUUCUAUCAACCCAUUCACCAGGUAAUGUUAGGGAGUACAAAAGGUCCCAUCAUAUGUCAUGGGAAAAUGCCCAUUACUGUGUAGCUUGUGCGGCAGCAAAUGUGGUGGCCUUGAUUGGCUUGGAAUCCUGCUAGAUAUCAGAAUACAACAGAGGUGUUUCUCUAAAGCCAUAAUAGUGGUUUCCACAUCUACAUGGCAUACUGGAAUGGUGGUCUCAUCUCCAGAACGUGUACCCAUGGCAGUGAGGCUUCACCAGAAUCCACGUCUGGGAGCUAGCUGUCCAAUGUGGUCAAUAUCACACUGGCAUGGGCCCUCUGUCCAGAUGAUGUGUCCCAGUUCACCACAUUGUACGGCCUGGGCUAAAGGCAGGCCUCACAUUACUGUACUGGAUCUUUGGCUUCCAUCUCUUUUAGGGCAAGUCCUCGUGAUGUGGCCCGUUCUUGCAUCUGAGGUGGACUUCCAUGUCCCAUUCUGUGGUAGAUCCCAUGGAUAAUUUUGGCCAUUUUCUGAGCACAUACUAGAUCAGCUUGUGAGUUCAUGUUCUCUUUUGAAUGGUCCUAUGCCGUGACAAGUAGGUCUCUUUCCUAGUUCACAAACUGCUGUCAUAGUCCUUGUCUCUACAUAGAGGAGCCCUUAAUGGUCCAAUCAUUAAUCUGCCAGUCACUGGACAUAUGGCUAGUCCAUUUGUAAUGGCCCAUAAGUCUGUAAAUGUGUAGCAGAUAAUUGCUGUUAUAUUUUCCUGAACAGCCAUCACCACAGCACAGAGUUCACCCAGAGUACUGGGCAGAGUAUCCUUGUCUGGUCUCAGUCAAAAGAUGACUAUCCUUAGGAUGUGUCUUAGUCUACUUGUGCUGCUAUAGCAGAAUGCCUGAGACUGGGUAAUUUUAUAAAUAGAAAUUUAAUUUCUCACAGUUCUGGAGGUGGGAAGUCCAAAAUCAAAGUCUCCAUUUCCACAAUGGUGCCUUAAACAUUGCACUCUCCAGGGGGAAAGAGCACACUGUUCCUCACAUGGCACAACAGCAGAGGAAAGCAAACCCACUCUCAUAAGCCCUUUUUAUAGGGACAUUAAUCCAUUCCUGAGGGUAAGCCUUCAUGACCUAAACACCUCCCUUAGGCCCCAUCUCCCAACACUGUUGUAUUGGGGAUUUUUUGUUUUUUAGACACAAGGUCUUGUUAUGUUUCCCAAGCUGGUCUUGAACUCCUGAGCUCAAGCAAUUCUCCCACCUCAGCCUCCUGAGUGGCUGGGACUACAAGCAUGCAGCACUGCACCCAGCUGGGGAUUAAGUUUUAACAUUUUGGAGGCGACAAAACCAUUCAAUCCACAGCAAGAUGGACGGCUACAGCAGACCAUUAGAGUUUAUCAGCUUUGAGUUUCACAGCUCCCUCAGUGAGCCAACUCAUACCAUCAGCUGGAACAUCUUUGAACCAUGGGCUGCACCUAGCUAAGGGAACAUCCCCUAUGGGCUGUUCGGCGUCCUCUGGCAAGACAGUUACUUCAUGGAGUUGGCAGACCCCCUGGGAUCCCAAUCAGGCUCCAUCUUAUAUGUAACAUUUCCAUUUAAUGAUGGUACUUGGCUGAACCUGUCGUGUUUUAUUAGGAUUAGUGAGCACUGUGAAAAAAAUAAAAUCAGAUAAAGAAAAAUUUAAAAGUUUAUUGUUCAAACAAGAAGUACAGACCACAAUCUAGAAGACUCAAAUCAAGUGGUAAGAAAUUAAUCUUACAGCAGUUACAACACAGUUUAUAAUGCAUAAAGGGGGGGAAUAUUUUGACCUUUUUUAUAAUUGGCUGUUAUACAUUCUUUUUAGGGCAAGUUGAGCUGUUUAAGCUUGUUGGUCUAUAGCUGAUUGGUUUAAUUUCAGUGAAUCAUGCUGGCAAGGAUGUAAAGCUUACAUUUUGCAUUUCAUUUAUGAUCAGAGACAGCAUUUCAGGAAAAUCAGAAUGAUUAGUUUUGGUUACACGGUUGCGGGUAGUCAGCCUUAGGGUAUUUCUAAACUGGGGCUUCCAUUUUUAUUUUUCGUUAAUAAUACCUGCAUGAGAUGGGCAGCUCAGGUCUUAAGGUCACAUACAGUGCUUCAGUGGUCAAGUGUUCUGUUUAAAUUAGAGUCCAAUAGCAGGCUAGUAGCUGCCAUUCAAAGGGAAUGUAUAUGGCAACCAUCUUGGGUAAUUUAUAUGUCCAAAACCUAAGGGCCUGGUGCAUCCUGAUAGCAGUCUCUUGUUGCCGCAGUAUCCAAUCUGUAUGGGUAAGAGUCAAUGAGACCUGUAGUUCCAUGGGCCUACAUUAAUGUCAGGCCCAUGUUAAUGCAUAGUAGGCCUCUCGAGUCUGCUGUUGUUGAGGGCCCCAUUCAGAGGUGGCUGUGUUGUGGGUAAUUUUAACUAAAGGAGGCAAAAUAAUACUCAGAUGUGAUACAUGUUAUCUCCAAUAGACAAACAGGCAUACCAGCUAUUGAGCUUCUUUUAGGUGGGGGCUGCCAAGGACAAUAUUUGACUUUAUCAGGAAUACUCCUCUAAUUACUGGACCAGGUAGCUCCAGGGACUGCACUUGUUGGGCAAGUCUUGGGAUCUUAUCAGGGCUGACAACUCAACCUGCAUGUGUCAUAUUAUCUAUGACCUUAUGUAUGGAGUGGUCAACUUGUUUCAUAGGCUGGCAAUGAGCAUGUUAUUAAUAUAGUGGAUGACAAGUACUUUUCGAAGUAACUGGACAUGUUGCAGGUCAGGGGAAUGGAAGUAUUGCUAUGGACUGAACUGUGCCCCCAAAAUUCAUAUAUGUAAUCCCCAAUUUCCUACUAAGUAAGGAUCAGACUAAGUUGCACCUACUCUCCCA